rnacentral:misc_RNA from 1 species
UUAAGUUCAGUGGGUAUUCCUACCUGAUCCGAGGUCAACCUGAGAAAAAUUGGAGAGGUGACCGGCCCGGAGAGACUGUCCACUCGACGCGUGCUUCGAAAAGCUCGUUGCACCGAGGGUCCCACGGACGCCGUCAUUGUCUUUGAGACCAGUGGUGCCAGCGCACCACAGAGUCCAACACCAAACCCAGGGGUUUGAGG